UUACGGCCAUAUCACAUUGAAACACCAGGUCCUUCACGAUCGUCAAAGUUAAGCAACGUUGAGCCCUGUCAGUACCUAGAUGGGUGGCCGCUUGGAAAUACCACUCGCCGUC